CUGUCCCAUCCUUCCCAUUCCGCCGCCACCACACACUCACCCUGUUCCUCGAGAUCCUUCCCCGACCAACCACCUUGCUUUCAACGCCGCCCAACCAGAUCGCGUAGCAUCUCCCUCCUUGUUUUCAUCCUCGAGCCAAUCCCCUGCUCGAUCCAGCAGCCCAGCACCUCGGCCACCUCCUUCCUCGGCCCCUGCCCGGCGCUCCACCCCCAAGUAGCAGCAGCACCCGAGCGCUCCUCUCCUUGCCGGUGCGCCCCCCUCCAUUCCGGCGCCGGGAACGGAAACCCCGCGCCCGGAUCUCGCCACCACCGCCUUGCCUCUGCCCAACUGCCGCUGCAGCUCGGGGACACCACAAGCCAAGCUAUCCUCGUCGCCAGAGCCCCUCGAUCCCGAGCUCCUCCGACUCGCAACCUCGCGCCUCGCCGCCGACGACCACAUCCAGUAGGCCAGGCCGUGCCCUGCUCCCAAUCCUCCCCAUGGCGCUGUCGCACGGGUCUAGGCGUCCCCCACCUCUGCGUCGCCGGAGUCGCCAAGCUCCUGGUGCCGUCGCCGCUCCCUGCGUCAGCCCCGCCAUGGACGUCGUGGAGUGUUCCUCCGCUCCGGAGCUCCUUCCUCGACGCCGAGCUCGCCAAGCUCCGCCGCCUCGACGUCCUUCUUGCCGGAGUCCCGCACAAGCCGCUGCUGCGAGUCAUCCUCAACGCCUUGCCCGCCUCCGGUCGCUCAGCCGGCGAGCCCAGUCGCCGGUGACGCCCCGCAGGAGCGCGUCGCGCAGCCGCCGCCUGAAUCCGCCGCCUCCUGCCGUCGCCCGGAUCUAGCGCCCCUCCGCCCGUCCAUCCCCGGCCUCCUGUGCUCGCCUGCUUCCUCUGCAUCGAAGCCGCUUGCCCUUUGUCUGCAUCGCCCCGAACCGGUCUCCCCUCCGCGCGUUGACCACGCCCUGCCUCACUUCGGUCUGCCUGCGAAGCCCAGCCAGCCGGCCUGCCUUGCCUCUUCACCGACCGGGCCGAGGCCCACUGGCUUUGGUUUCGUUCCGGAGUUGUGAGGAUUCGUUCGACUACAUCCGUUUGUCUUCUUCAUGGACUCGUUCUUCUUCCUUGCGGGAUCUC